ensembl:lncRNA
AAUUAAUUUGAACNAUUAAUUAUUAUAAUAUAAUAUAAUAUAAUAGUCAUUAUUGUCAUUAUUAAUAUGAUUAUUAUUUGUCAAAAAUAAAGAAAUUAAUUUCCAAAAAAAAAAAAAACCCAUUUAACAUCACACGAGAACGGACUCCUCCUGGACCGUUUGCGGCGUCGCUUCUCUCAGAUCACAGAGAGGAAAUCAUCAUCAUCAUCAUCAUCAUCAUCAUCAUCACGCGGACUCAGAUGGCCCGAGGCGCUGCGUCGAUGAAAUUGGAUAUUUAAGGCAGUGCAGAAAGCAGUUCACGUUCACUCUCAGCGGGCGCGCGGCUGGAGAGUCAGAGGGGGUAGACGCGCGCUCUGUAACUGACUGACAAAUAAUAUGAGGCUACAGUGUUGUGAACGAGGCUUCAUAUAACGUGACCGGGAAGAGAACAAGGCACGGACUCGAGUCCUCGUUCAACGCGGAGGCUGAGGAGGAGGACGGUGGAUGACCGCGAGCGCUCCCUUCAGCGCGCAUUACCAAUGCGUCAGAAGAGCGCGUGUCUCUGAACUCCAGCUGCAGGUCCAAAAUCUUGAGGGGGAUGAACUGUGCUGUCAGCAUACUGGAAACACUAAACCAGCUUGUAGGAGGCAGAGAGCUCAGUGAGUCUCUCAAAGAAUAUGUAAUGCAACACCAUCUCUGAUUCUGCUGAGACCUGCGAAUGAAGGCUUAGGAGGUGCAGAGGUCCGUGUGAGCCACUCUGAUAAAACUUGCAGUCCUCUUAUAGUCCUGUCACUGCACCCAAAUGUAGAUGUAAAGUGCACACAUUGCUUGGCAAAAUGACAGAUGGAUAGAGAGCAGGGAGUGAAUUGGCACCAUAAUACAUCCCUGUUUUACUUGUCAUAUCAUGCAGAAACAAUUUUAAAAGCCUCUAGAUAGCUGAUUUUUUUUCCCCAUAGUGGUUUUUCUUCCUCAUUUACUCUUAACAAUGAAGGAGAUAUAGUGUAAACAAUUUAUUGAAGCCCUGGCUUUUCAUCCGUAUUGAAAUCAAAAUGUGUUCCUUUGCUCUAUUCAAUCCUGCAAUCUGUCAACAGGACAAGAAGUCAGCAUUAAAGCGUGGAAAGUUAAAGUGUUGAAAGAACAUUUCUUUCAUUGAAUAAUUUUGGUACAUAACAAUUUUGGUACAAAAAACUUUGUUGCCUUCCAAGAUGAAUUUCUGAAAUAGGAUACAAUAGUGUAAAAAAAAAAACCCUUCAUCAGGUUAAGACACUAAAUUUCUACAAUUAAAGAGUAGCUAAAUAUUAAAUGUAACAAAAACAUAUCAUUAGAAAAAUAGAAGCAUUAAUAUUUAAUAUAGCCUAAUCAAAUAUGAUGCAUAGCAGUGCGUUCUGGGAAUGUUUUUAAUUUUUUUUACUACAAAUUGUAUUUACAAACAUACUUUUGAAUAAUAUUUUAAAUGUGAAUUGUAAAAAGCUUC